rnacentral:tRNA from 1 species
UGAGGUGCAGCUCAGAGGUAGAGCAUUUGCCUAGCACGUGUGAGGCCCUGGGUUUGAUCCCCAGCACCACAA